UACGGGGGGAGCAAGCGUUGUUCGGAUUUACUGGGCGUAAAGGGCACGUAGGCGGCCACCGCAAGUCGACUGUGAAAUCUCCGGGCUUAACCCGGAAAGGUCAGCCGAUACUGCGGGGCUAGAGUGCAGAAGGGGCAACUGGAAUUCUCGGUGUAGCGGUGAAAUGCGUAGAUAUCGAGAGGAACACCUGCGGCGAAGGCGGGUUGCUGGGCUGACACUGACGCUGAGGCGCGAAAGCUAGGGGAGCGAACGGG
rnacentral:rRNA from 1 species